UACGUAGGGGGCAAGCGUUGUCCGGAUUUAUUGGGCGUAAAGAGCGUGUAGGCGGCCAGACAGGUCCGUUGUGAAAACUGGAGGCUUAACCUCCAGACGUCGAUGGAAACCGUCUGGCUAGAGUCCGGAAGAGGAGAGUGGAAUUCCUGGUGUAGCGGUGAAAUGCGCAGAUAUCAGGAAGAACACCCGUGGCUAAGGCGGCUCUCUAGUACGGUACUGACGCUGAGACGCGAAAGCGUGGGGAGCGAACAGG
rnacentral:rRNA from 1 species